AUGUGUGUUGUAGAUCCAACAACAACAAUGCAUAUAUGGAAUUGUAGUCACAUAUCUGUAUGUCACUGCCUUAUAGACAUACUUAUUUACCAGUAUAUAUUCACCUAA
rnacentral:rRNA from 1 species